CUGGGGCCCCGGGCCCCUCGUAGGAUAGACGGAGCCUGUCCUAAUCUUUCGGAAGUGCAUGCUGGGGAGGCCCCUUGCCUGCUGACCUUCUGUGCUCAGGACGACUAAUCGGCCACACGACCACCACCCUGUCCCGUGGGAUUCCUAGAGAAGUCUCACCAAGAGCCCAGCACACUCACAUCAGAACUAACCUCCUGGGAUCUGCUCACACCUCCGGCACUAACCUCGCCCACUCGGAGAUGUCAGUGGGACCCCUUGCUUCUUUGUUUCAGAACAAGAGCCCCAAGGCCCGGGACAGCCAGGGGGAGGAGCUGGAGGUGCUCCUGGAGGAGGAGGCAGCCGGCGGCGAUGAGGACCGGGAAAAGGAGAUUCUCAUUGAACGGAUCCAGUCCAUCAAGGAGGAGAAGCAAGACAUCACCUACCGGCUGCCAGAGCUGGACCCAAGGGGCUCGGACGAGGAGAACCUGGACUCGGAGACGUCGGCCAGCACCGAGAGCCUGCUGGAGGAGCGGGCCGGGCGGGGGGCCUCGGAAGGUCAGUAUUAAGGUAGCGUCUGCUUUUCUCCUUCCCAUCCAUCCCAGCAGGCCCCAGGGCGAGGGUCCUCCGGCUGCCGGCCCUGAAGCUGCAGUAACCCUGCCAUCUGUCUCUCAAAAGGGCCCC
rnacentral:sRNA from 1 species